rnacentral:lncRNA from 1 species
AAGAAGAAGAAGAAGAAGAAGAAGAAGAAGAAGAAGAAGAAGAAGAAGAAGAAGAAGAAAAAGAGGAGGAGGAGGAGGAGGAGGAGGAGGAAAAAUUAUCAAAAAAAGGAGAUUCCAUAAGUUAGAAUAAGAGACAAGAAUUAAAAGAAAUAACCACUCAAUAUUUUCUUUUUCUUCGAACGGCAAUAAAAGGAUCAUCUAAUGUCAAAGUCGAAAUCGGCUUCCGCGAGCACCGAAUCGAAAGAAAAAGACUACAAAAGAUAAAUUUGGUAUGAAUUAUUCAACAGUGUUAUUUUGUGGAAGAGGAAGAUACAAAUGAAUGGAGCAAGAAAAUCUAAAGAAGAACUCAACUAUUUUGCGUGCGAGCGCGAGAGAGAGAGAG